UAUUGUCAUAUUAUUGCUUUUAGCAGAACUAGACAUGUGCAUAUUAUAUUUUUCAUGGAUGGCUGUGUUUUUAGCACCAAAAACCACUUCUGAGUGGAAUAUGCACUGAACAGAAUGCCCAUGGCUUCCCAGAGUGUUAACUCUUUCAAGAGAGACAUAGGUGUGCUGGGAACUGCUACGCAAAGGGGUUGUAAGGCUGGCCAGAGAGCUACACAUCAUUGCAUCUGCUCCAGCCUCUGCUGUGCAGAAAAAUGCAAUGCAACAAAGCAAAAUAGAUCCUGACAACCGAGAAACAAAGAAAUCAACCAAAUCACCAAGGGAAAACAUCUUUUCCUCCCUAGCCCGCUAGCAUGCUUGCCAGGAAGGAUGUGGAAUGGGCAGUGGUCAGAAUUGCUCGGGUUAGGGCUUGCACACGAUUCAAGGUGUCCACUGGGCUCCCUGCAGAGUUCAGCCAGGCCAGGCUCUGAGGGCCUGCCAGUGGACCCACCAGCGAGACAACAGCAUGAAAUGGUGUGGUUAGCAUCAGAAACCCACGGCUUCUCAUUCCUCACUUGGGCAUGUGUGAAUUUAACAGUCAUCAAACCCUGAGGUCCCAAAAACACUUUCACUUUCUCAGCUUUUAAAAUUCAUCGCAUUCCAUGAGGUAAGGAAGGUAGCAGAGCCCAGACUAGCAAUUUAGUCAUCAAGAUAAAUAAUAUUUAAGUGUGAGAUUUUUAAAAAUUGUGGUAAAAUAUACACAGCAUAAAUUUACGAUCUUAACCAUUUUUAACUGUGCAGUUCAAUAAUGUCAGGUACGUUCAUACGGUUGCACAACUGAUCACCAGAGUUCUUCAUCCGCCUGAACGGAAACUCUGUCCCCAUUAAACAACUCUCCAUCCCAGCCCCUGGCAACCACCCUUCUACUUGCUGUUGCUAUGAAUUUGACUAUUUCAGGUACUCCUUCCUAUGAGUGGAAUCAUCCAGAGUUUAUCCUUUUGUGUCUGGCCUAUUUCCCUGAGCAUGUCCUCAAGGCUCAUCCAUGUUGUACCAGGUGUCAGGACGUCAUUCCUCUUCAAGGCUGAGUAAUAUUUCACUGUGAGCAUAGACCACAGUUCGGUUAUCCAUUCAUCCAUCAGCGGACACUUGGGUUGCGUCUACCUUUUGGCUGUUGUGAAAUAAUGCUACUAUGAACGUGAGUGUAUGAGUAUCUUUGGGGCCCUGUUUUCAAUCCUUUCUGAUAUAUACGAUGUGACAUUUUUUAAUUCAAAAUUAUUGCAAAAUCUCCAUGAUGCACAUAAUAUCAAAAUUUUAAACAGAGACAAGAUCCGUGUGAUUGGUUAUUCCUUUUCUAUCCCAUUCCUGUGGUUCCGAUGGCAGUGGGAGGUAGCCACAGUGACCUUCAUUGUACAGAGCAGAAAACUGAACACAGGGGAGGGCUUGCUUCCUGAGACUGGUUGACUGGCAGCCAUGGAGGAAUGUGAACUGAGGCUGCUGGUGUCCCACCCGUCUAGCCAGGACCCUCUACCAGCCCUCACGUGACCUCUGCCUGGGCAACUGGAGAGAUCAAGAGACAUCUCACCUUCUCUCAGGCUAACACUCAGCAGGGCCUGUGCUACCUGGUUUGGUUCUCAUUUCUCCCUCCUCAAGACUGAAAAUUCCCAGGAUCUCUGUGUGCCUCUCUUUGUCCUGGCUACCCCAAUAAAAAGGGGUUUUAUUCACAUGCUACUGCUGUAUUUCCCCUGCCAGUGUGACUUGUCCCAUUUGUGAGCAAAUAUUUUAUUUACAAAGUCAUUUCUAAUUUAUAGCCUGCCCACUUUCAGAAAAGAUCUGAAGAAGAGACCAGAUGUUAAUAAACCUAUGAUGUGGAACCUAUCUAUUAAACCCAUGGCUGGUGUUGGGGCUGCAGUGCAACUGCCCGUGGCCUCCCCAAGCCCUCAUGGCACGGUCUCAGCUGCAGCCACCGAGCCUGUAAAUUGAUCCCCACACAAGGCGUCCACCAUGCACAGUGAAGUUCAUUAAGAGAAAUGGAGGACGGAGACCUGUCUACAGCCACUACCGGAGAGUUCUGGGCUCUGAGCUGGAGGAGC